rnacentral:rRNA from 1 species
UACGUAGGGUGCAAGCGUUAAUCGGAAUUACUGGGCGUAAAGCGUGCGCAGGCGGUUAUGUAAGACAGUUGUGAAAUCCCCGGGCUCAACCUGGGAACUGCGCUUGUAACUGGCAAGCUAGAGUGUGGCAGAGGGGGGUGGAAUUCCACGUGUAGCAGUGAAAUGCGUAGAGAUGUGGAGGAACACCGAUGGCGAAGGCAGCCCCCUGGGCUAACACUGACGCUCAUGCACGAAAGCGUGGGGAGCAAACAGG